GCCGGCGAAAGCACGUUCAAUGCAUCAGUUCCCAAUUAUUCACUGAAGUUAAGCAACAUUUCGUGUGAAUGGUAACCGGAUGGGUGACUAUCUGGACAAUCUUGUCCUUCUGGCU
rnacentral:rRNA from 1 species